ACCUCAAUAGCUCAGCUGGUAGAGCAGGCCCUUCGUAAGGACAAGGUCGGGGUUCGAGUCCCUCUUGAGGCA
rnacentral:tRNA from 1 species